GGGUGAGUAACGCGUGGGAACAUGCCCUUCGGUUCGGAAUAACUCAGGGAAACUUGAGCUAAUACCGGAUACGCCCUUAGGGGGAAAGAUUUAUUGCCGAAGGAUUGGCCCGCGUCCGAUUAGCUAGUUGGUGAGGUAAUGGCUCACCAAGGCGACGAUCGGUAGCUGGUCUGAGAGGAUGAUCAGCCACACUGGGACUGAGACACGGCCCAGACUCCUACGGGAGGCAGCAGUGGGGAAUAUUGGACAAUGGGCGCAAGCCUGAUCCAGCCAUGCCGCGUGAGUGAUGAAGGCCCUAGGGUUGUAAAGCUCUUUCGCCAGGGACGAUAAUGACGGUACCUGGAUAAGAAGCCCCGGCUAACUUCGUGCCAGCAGCCGCGGUAAUACGAAGGGGGCUAGCGUUGUUCGGAAUCACUGGGCGUAAAGCGCACGUAGGCGGAUCUUCAAGUCAGGGGUGAAAUCCCGAGGCUCAACCUCGGAACUGCCUUUGAUACUGGAGGUCUCGAGUCCGGGAGAGGUGAGUGGAACUGC
rnacentral:rRNA from 1 species